UACGUAGGCAGCGAGCGUUGUUCGGAGUUACUGGGCGUAAAGGGUGUGUAGGCGGUUUUCUAAGUUUGGUGUGAAAUCUCCCGGCUCAACCGGGAGGGUGCGCCGAAAACUGGGAGACUAGAGUGCGGGAUGGGAGAGUAGAAUUCCUGGUGUAGCGGUGAAAUGCGUAGAUAUCAGGAGGAAUCCCGGGGGUGGAGACGGCUCUCUGGACCGCCACUGACGCUGAGACACGAAAGCGUGGGUAGCAAACAGG
rnacentral:rRNA from 1 species